UACGUAGGGGGCAAGCGUUGUCCGGAUUUAUUGGGCGUAAAGAGCGUGUAGGCGGCUUUACAGGUCCGUUGUGAAAACUCGAGGCUCAACCUCGAGACGCCGGUGGAAACCGUAAAGCUAGAGUCCGGAAGAGGAGAGUGGAAUUCCUGGUGUAGCGGUGAAAUGCGCAGAUAUCAGGAGGAACACCGGUGGCGAAGGCGGAUCUCUGGGCCUUACCUGACGCUCAGGCGCGAAAGCUAGGGGAGCGAACUGG
rnacentral:rRNA from 1 species